rnacentral:rRNA from 1 species
CCUACGGGAGGCAGCAGUAAGGAAUAUUGGUCAAUGGGUGCAAGCCUGAACCAGCCAUGCCGCGUGCAGGAAGACGGCCCUAUGGGUUGUAAACUGCUUUUGUAACAAGAGAAAACCUCGGUACGUGUACCGAGCUGAUAGUAUUGUUAGAAUAAGCAUCGGCUAACUUCGUGCCAGCAGCCGCGGUAAGACGAAGGAUGCAAGCGUUAUCCGGAUUCAUUGGGUUUAAAGGGUGCGUAGGCGGCCUGAUAAGUCAGUGGUGAAAUCUCUCAGCUUAACUGAGAAACUGCCAUUGAUACUGUCGGGCUUGAGUACAGAUGAUGUGGGCGGAAUAUGACAUGUAGUGGUGAAAUACUUAGAUAUGUCAUAGAACACCGAUUGCGAAGGCAGCUCACAAAACUGUAACUGACGCUGAGGCACGAAAGUGCGGGGAUCAAACAGGAUUAGAUACCCUGGUAGUCCGCACCGUAAACGAUGAUUACUCGUUGUUGGCAAUAUGACCGUCAGCGACCAAGCGAAAGCGANAAGUAAUCCCACCUGGGGAGUACGCCGGCAACGGUGAAACUCGAAAGGAAUUGACGGCGNGAGAGNGCGACGACGACGACGAGGGAGGAGG